CAUGCGUCUAAGGCAGGUCCCACACUACAUCGCCUUACUGAUGAGUCUAGUGGUGUGGGGCCAGGACGAAACGCUGC
rnacentral:hammerhead_ribozyme from 15 species